UUUGGUUGUCAAGGGAAACAAACUGGACGUUGCAGUCGCAUAUCAACCGUUUUCAGGUAGCUAUUGGACUAGAGAUGUAGGCUAACUCGGGCUUGAUUUAAAAAAAUAAAAAAAAACGUUCAAUUAACUUGCCGAAAUGUUUGCCUGUAAUACUGUCACUUCAAGGACCUCUUCAACGCGUUUACUAAUCGAUAUCCGACUUCUGAAGUGCUGCCGUAACUUUACCGUUAGCAAGUUUGCUAACGUGUGAAACGUAGCCUACCCAGCAAGCAGUAACGUCCUCAAGUUUCCUGCUGGAGUUGGGGCUGUCAAACCAUUCAAGUGGCCCAUGAUGACUGACUGAAAGGACAUUAUGUGAAUUCACUACAAGUCAAAAUCAGAUAAACAGACAGGAACAUCAGCCUUCUUGGUGCCAGAUGGAAAUACUUGAGAAUAGCAAGAAAAACGGUUCAAGUAGGCCCGACAACAGAGAUCACAGACAACCACAAGAAGUGACCCCAGGAGGGCAACAGACCAUAUGUUGGCAGUUUUUGGAAGGCAGGUCCUAGCCACGCAAUCGUAUACCGGAAAACCACCAGUAAAAUUCAACAAAAAAAACCUCAUAAACUACUUCACAAACAAAUUUGAUGUGGACACUUCAAUGAUCAAGCAAGCAAUGGCACAGGACUGUUCAGAUGAGGCAAAAAUGACACCCACACAAUGAUCAAAUAAUGAAAUAAUAAAUAUAUUUCGCAUAUGACCAUUUCA